rnacentral:rRNA from 1 species
UACGUAGGGUGCAAGCGUUGUCCGGAAUUAUUGGGCGUAAAGAGCUCGUAGGCGGGUUGUCGCGUCUGCUGUGAAAACUCGGGGCUUAACCCCGGGCCUGCAGUGGGUACGGGCAGACUAGAGUGCGGUAGGGGAGACUGGAAUUCCUGGUGUAGCGGUGAAAUGCGCAGAUAUCAGGAGGAACACCGGUGGCGAAGGCGGGUCUCUGGGCCGUAACUGACGCUGAGGAGCGAAAGCGUGGGGAGCGAACAGG